UGCCAUACGGUAUCAGUAAGUCUAAAGCAGA
rnacentral:piRNA from 1 species